rnacentral:rRNA from 1 species
CAGCCGCCGCGGGAAUACGAAGGGUGCAAGCGUUACUCGGAAUUACUGGGCGUAAAGCGUGCGUAGGUGGUUGUUUAAGUCUGUUGUGAAAGCCCUGGGCUCAACCUGGGAAUUGCAGUGGAUACUGGGUCACUAGAGUGUGGUAGAGGAUAGUGGAAUUUCCGGUGUAGCAGUGAAAUGCGUAGAGAUCGGAAGGAACAUCUGUGGCGAAGGCGACUAUCUGGGCCAACACUGACACUGAGGCACGAAAGCGUGGGGAGCAAACAGGAUUAGAUACCCCAGUAGUCCCUGUCUCUUAUAC